rnacentral:rRNA from 1 species
UACGUAGGCAGCGAGCGUUGUUCGGAGUUACUGGGCGUAAAGGGUGCGUAGGUGGCCAGGUAAGUUUGGUGUGAAAGCUCGGAGCUCAACUCCGAAAUGGCAUUGAAUACUAUCUGGCUGGAGGGUCGGAGGGGAGACUGGAAUUCUCGGUGUAGCAGUGAAAUGCGUAGAUAUCGAGAGGAACACCAGUGGCGAAGGCGAGUUUCUGGACGACACCUGACACUGAGGCACGAAAGCUAGGGGAGCAAACAGG